rnacentral:tRNA from 1 species
GGGCGAUUAGCUCAGUUGGUAGAGCACUGUGUUCACAUCGCAGGGGUCACUGGUUCGAGUCCAGUAUCGCCCA